GACGAACCGAGCGACCGUUGUUCGGAAUCACUGGGCUUAAAGGGCGCGUAGGCGGGGUGCCGCGUCCGGGGUGAAAUCCCACGGCUCAACCGUGGAACGGCCCCGGGUACGGGCGGCCUCGAGGGGGGUAGGGGCGUGCGGAACUGUGGGUGGAGCGGUGAAAUGCGUUGAGAUCCACAGGAACUCCGGUGGCGAAGGCGGCACGCUGGACCCCCACUGACGCUGAGGCGCGAAAGCCAGGGGAGCGAACGGG
rnacentral:rRNA from 1 species